CCCAUAAUAAACACCUGCGAUAAGUAUAGAGCUAUCAGGAAUAUUUAUUAUUCAGAACUGGAUAGGCCAAUACUGAGUUGAACAGUCUUUUGCGCCAGCAGCUCCACCAGUACUAACAUCGAUUUCUAAGAUAUUAGUCCCAAUCAAUAUUCUUACAUCUUCUGGACGAGAAGCCAAACAGCAAUGUGAUCUGAGAACUAUAGCAUCUGAAUUUGAACACCCAUGUUCGGAAGAAUUAUCUUUCGCCUCGCGAGCUAAGUUAUUCCACGUAACUGAACUUUGCGGUUCGUAAGGAGGACUGUCAUUUGGUAAAAUAGAUGCUACAACGUUUCCAUUAUUCAAAGAUAUUUCCUCAGAACUAUCAUUAUUGACGAUAUUGCAACGUAAAUAAGGAUUAGCAUCGGCAUGCCUCGCCAUUCUAGUCAUUCAAACGAUUACGCCGUUGCCUUUGUAUGAGUUGACUAAAGGGGUUUCGUUUCAGCCUAAUCAUGAUUCAAGCAUGUAUAUAGACAAGCUACAGAAAUUAUUAAUAAUAUUGCAUAUAGUUAUAGUAGAGGCAACAAAUACGAAUCUCUGAGAAUUACGUGACUUUAAAUUAGACGAAAUAUCACUUUUGUACGUAAAAGUAAUAGCAAUGGCCAAAAAUUUAGCUUAAAAAGUGAGCUAAUAUAGGUAAUAUUGUAUUAUAUGACAACAUUUGGACACGACAUACAGGUCUCCAUAUGUGCAUUAAUUUUGAAAGAUAAUUUGAAACAACACUUACCCUGUGAAAUGAGGUAAUGUAUUUCUUCAUGUUUUCCUUCCAGCACGUGUAUGUCUUACGGCUGAUAAAAUAUCGUCGACUAUAUAUUUACACGUUUUCCUGGGAAGCCCAAGCUUCCCCGGUUCCCGCUGUUAUUGUAUGUAAUAUAGGUAUAGGGUAUAAGCAUCCUGCGUGCACGUGCGGGAAGCUUGCGAAGUACGAAGAACAUAAUUGCGGCAGACGUCGCAUGAAUGCUGCAGCAAGCUCUGUUUGACAGU